AACGAUCAGAAUUCAAAAUACAACCAAAUCAAAUGGGAGCACGGUAGGGACAGGUUUCUUUGUGAGCCUAAAAGCCGAAGACAAUCAAUUGUGCCAUCUCAUAGCAACGAACAGACAUGUGUUACAUAACGCGGCAAGCAUUCGACUGUUCUGUUCAUUUGGUGACGACACGGGGUUGAAAAACAACGAACCUCCGACAUACAUGGAUGUACCCAAUCCAGAACCUCUCAUAAUUUAUCCCGAAGACCCCUCGAUCGAUCUCGCUAU
rnacentral:misc_RNA from 1 species